rnacentral:rRNA from 1 species
UGGGGAAUAUUUGACAAUGGGCGCAAGCCUGAUCCAGCCAUGCCGCGUGUGUGAAGAAGGCCUUUUGGUUGUAAAGCACUUUAAGCGAGGAGGAGGCUACUUGGAUUAAUACUCUAGGAUAGUGGACGUUACUCGCAGAAUAAGCACCGGCUAACUCUGUGCCAGCAGCCGCGGUAAUACAGAGGGUGCGAGCGUUAAUCGGAUUUACUGGGCGUAAAGCGUGCGUAGGCGGCUUUUUAAGUCGGAUGUGAAAUCCCUGAGCUUAACUUAGGAAUUGCAUUCGAUACUGGGAAGCUAGAGUAUGGGAGAGGAUGGUAGAAUUCCAGGUGUAGCGGUGAAAUGCGUAGAGAUCUGGAGGAAUACCGAUGGCGAAGGCAGCCAUCUGGCCUAAUACUGACGCUGAGGUACGAAAGCAUGGGGAGCAAACAGG